CCGCCGGCGACCGGCGCACGGGUGAGUAACACGUAUGCAACCUGGCCGUGACAGAUGGAUAACCGGGAGAAAUCCCGCCUAAUACAACAUAAUGCCGGGAGGGGACAUCCCCUGCCGGCCAAAGGGGGCGACCCCGGUCACGGAUGGGCAUGCGGCGCAUUAGGUAGUUGGUGGGGCAACGGCCCACCAAGCCGACGAUGCGUAGGGGUUCUGAGAGGAAGGUCCCCCACAUUGGGACUGAGACACGGCCCAAACUCCUACGGAAGGCAGCAG
rnacentral:rRNA from 1 species